rnacentral:rRNA from 1 species
UGGGGAAUUUUGGACAAUGGGCGAAAGCCUGAUCCAGCCAUGCCGCGUGAGUGAAGAAGGCCUUCGGGUUGUAAAGCUCUUUUAGUCGGAAAGAAAGAGUUGCAAUGAAUAAUUGUGAUUUAUGACGGUACCGACAGAAAAAGCACCGGCUAACUACGUGCCAGCAGCCGCGGUAAUACGUAGGGUGCGAGCGUUAAUCGGAAUUACUGGGCGUAACGGGUGCGCAGGCGGUCUUGCAAGUCAGAUGUGAAAGCCCCGGGCUUAACCUGGGAAUUGCGUUUGAAACUACAAGACUAGAGUGCAGCAGAGGGGAGUGGAAUUCCAUGUGUAGCAGUGAAAUGCGUAGAGAUGUGGAAGAACACCGAUGGCGAAGGCAGCUCCCUGGGUUGACACUGACGCUCAUGCACGAAAGCGUGGGGAGCAAACA